UCUUUGGUGAUGAUUAAUACAGUGACUUUCGUUCUUCUGAGUUUAAUGAAGACCAAAUUUCUGUCCUGAAAAGA